rnacentral:misc_RNA from 1 species
CAUUUGGUCUUCCUAUUUCUGAGGUUACCAAUUUACGUUCUUUAUUUCAACAACCCCUCUUUAAUGGUUGCUUCUGUUUAGUUAUCUUCAUUUUUAUUGUCAUCAUUCUAUUCUUUAAAUAAUUGUCACCCCCACACAUUUUUUUUUUCCUUUUUUUAUAGUUAAUGCAGCGGCAAUGCAAAUAUUUAAAAUUACUGAUAGCUCCAAUAUCAAGAUACUCCAUGACUUUGAAUGAUGGAAUUUAGCUAAAUAGUGCUUCUAAGAGAAUUUAAGCUUACAUAAUCACCAUAAUGGGUUGACACUGAUAAAUCAUAAUUAAUCUUAUUGUUACAGAUGCUUGGUGGAAUUUGUGUUAACCGCUGUGACUUUCACUGGCUUUUUAGAAGUUUAGGCAUCCAUUAUUAUUAUU